UACGAAGGGUGCAAACGUUGCUCGGAAUUAUUGGGCGUAAAGCGCACGUAGGCGGCUCUGCAAGUCCCAUGUGAAAUCCCACGGCUCAACCGUGGAAGUGCAUGGGAAACUGCAGAGCUUGAGUACUUAAGAGGAUCGCGGAAUUCCCGGUGUAGAGGUGAAAUUCGUAGAUAUCGGGAGGAACACCAGUGGCGAAGGCGGCGAUCUGGGAAGAUACUGACGCUGAGGUGCGAAAGCGUGGGGAGCAAACAGG
rnacentral:rRNA from 1 species